CCUACGGGAGGCAGCAGUGGGGAAUAUUGCACAAUGGGGGGAACCCUGAUGCAGCAACGCCGCGUGAAGGAAGACGGUUUUCGGAUUGUAAACUUCUAUCAAUAGGGAAGAAAGAAAUGACGAUACCUAAAUAAGAAGCCCCGGCUAACUACGUGCCAGCAGCCGCGGUAAUACGGAGGAUGCGAGCGUUAUCCGGAUUUAUUGGGUUUAAAGGGUGCGUAGGCGGAAUAUCAAGUCAGCGGUAAAAAUUCGGGGCUCAACCCCGUCGUGCCGUUGAAACUGAUGUUCUUGAGUGGGCGAGAAGUAUGCGGAAUGCGUGGUGUAGCGGUGAAAUGCAUAGAUAUCACGCAGAACUCCGAUUGCGAAGGCAGCAUACCGGCGCCCAACUGACGCUGAAGCACGAAAGCGUGGGUAUCGAACAGGAUUAGAUACCCUAGUAGUC
rnacentral:rRNA from 1 species